rnacentral:rRNA from 1 species
AACGAACGCUGGCGGCGUGCCUAACACAUGCAAGUCGAACGAGAAAGGGGCUUCGGCUCCGAGUAAAGUGGCGCACGGGUGAGUAACACGUGGGUAACCUGCCUCUAAGAUUGGGAUAACUCGUCGAAAGAUGAGCUAAUACCGGAUAAGACCACAGUUCCCGCGGGAACAGGGGUCAAAGGUAGCCUCUGCUUGCACGCUAUCACUUAGAGAUGGGCCUGCGAACCAUUAGCUAGUUGGUAGGGUAACGGCCUACCAAGGCAAAGAUGGUUAGCUGGUCUGAGAGGAGGAUCAGCCACACUGGAACUGAGACACGGUCCAGAGUCCUACGGGAGGCAGCAGUGGGGAAUAUUGCGCAAUGGGCGAAAGCUUGACGCAGCAACGCCGCGUGAGUGAUGAAGGCCUUCGGGUCGUAAAGCUCUGUCGGGAGGAACGAAUGCUCCCAAGGUUAACAGCCUCGGGAGGUGACGGUACCUUCAAAGGAAGCACCGGCUAACUCUGUGCCAGCCGCCGCAGUAACAC